CUGUGGUGUUGUGGGUUAUUGUCGCUGAUAUCCAUUUAUUUGUCAACUAUAAACAUAUCUGUGAAAGUUGUAACAGUAAUAAAAAAAAUAGAAAGAGAAACUUGCACGUUAAGUAAUACAAUAUAAUGCCCUUGAAGCUCGUUACCCGGCAGAGAAACGUGACCGAGCCAGACCCGAAAGUCCCCAGAUAAAACGUUUGUUAAAUUAAGAACAAAUAAAGUUGCUUACAUCUUAAUGAGUGAAACAACUGAAACGAAAAUAAAUAUUACUUAAAAAAAAUAUAGGACCGAGACAAGUCAAGAGUGAAGAAGGAAGAUUUAAAAUACGUGUGACUAUUCCCAGGCGGUGAUUGAAAAUGUUGUCAGUGGGACGGUGGUUAAGUGUGCUGGUGAUGCCGCUGGUACGUGUGUUGCUGGUGGGCGUGGUAAGGCAGGCUGGCUACAGAUCCUUCCAUUUCACUACAACCAUCUCCCCAUAUUAUGACUUCAUUGUAGUGGGCAGUGGGUCAGGAGGUAGUGUAGUGGCUGCCCGUCUCUCUGAAGUAAACAACUGGCGGGUACUACUGCUGGAGGCUGGGGGCCCCCCGACUUUGGAGAGUUACGUUCCUGCCCUCUCCUUGGCUUUCUACCUCCCUAACGACCUGGGCUGGCAGUAUCACAUCACUCCACAGAGACACUCACAUAAAAAUUUCGUCGGGAGGAGUGAGAGACUUCUCCAAGGUCGGAUGCUAGGAGGGUCGUCAAGUACGAGUGGAAUGGUGUACAAACGAGGCAGCAGACAGGAUUACGACAGGUGGGCUGCUCUGGGCAACCCUGGCUGGGACUACCUCUCUGUCCUGCCAUACUUCAAGAAGUCUGAGGACUAUCGGGGGCCACAAGACGGGGAUAGUGAAAUAUUUCACGGUCGAGGAGGUCCACUAACAGUAACUCCAACCAAAAAACUGUCAACUCUUACUAAGGCCUUUCUCCGUGCAGGCCAGCAGCUCGGGUACAACACCAUCGAUGCCAACGGAAAACAUCAAAUUGGUUUUGCAACAGCAGAUUAUACCAUUCUUGAUGGCAUCAGAAGGUCGACAGCUGAAGCUUUCCUAAGACCUGCAACUACUCGACCCAACCUACAUAUUGUGCACAGCGCCACCGUUCAUAAGGUUGUGAUGGACCAGAACAAGAGAGCUGUAGGUGUACAGUUUAUGCAUAAAGGGAAGCUGAUGAAAGUGAUGGCACUCAGAGAAGUGGUACUAUCUGCCGGGACUCUGGCAUCACCCAAGAUCCUCAUGUUAUCCGGUGUGGGACCCAAACAACACCUAAAGGAACAUCGGGUGCCGGUAUUGGCAGACUUACCAGGUGUAGGCCAGAACCUUCAGGACCAUCUCAAUGUUGCUGGUCUCACAUGGACUGUACCUCCAGGAAUCCUCAAAGAACCUGACCCCAUGGCUUACUUCGCUCAGUACCUCCAUACCAGAACGGGACCGUUUACCGAGCCAUUAGGGGGAAAAACGAGUGCAUGGGUGGCUGUAGGGGAUUUAUCUAAAGAAGACCCCGAUUGGCCCAACUUGCAAUGCCACAUAAUAACUCCUGCAAUGUUUUAUGACAGGGGGUUUCUUAAUCCAGAGCUAACUAAUAUGGAUCCCAGGAAGUUCACAGAUUACUAUAGACCUUUGUAUGGUAAACAAGGCUUCACUAUGGAGUGUCACAUCAUGAGGCCCAAGAGUCGUGGCAGCCUCACUCUCAGGUCCAGCGACCCUCAGCAACUUCCUGUUAUUGACCCUAACUUUCUUAGUCAUCGGGAUGACCUGAAGACCCUGGUUAAUGGAAUCAAGUUUGUUUUGGCAGUUGGCAACACUUCAGCUCUUGCACAUGACCUGGGAGCAAAGUUUUAUGACAAGCAUUUGCCAGGCUGCGAGAGGGAGACAUAUGGUAGUGACACCUACUGGGAAUGUUACGUUACUCAUAUGGCACGCAGCUACCUCCACCCUGUUGGCACCUGCAAGAUGGCCCCUGACAGUGAUCCCUAUGGUGUUGUGGAUUAUCAUCUUAGGGUGCGUGGUGUGUCAGGGCUCAGGGUAGUGGACGCCUCCAUCAUGCCAGCCCUCGUCUCGGGCAACACCAACGCUCCCGUCAUUAUGAUCGCCGAGAAAGCUGCCGACUUAAUUAAGGACGACUGGGGAGUUUUGAACCAAGAUAACUACUACUAAUGAUUUGACUGUGAUUCCCUCAUUACCAUGUGACUGAGCUUGUGCAGUAGAGCGGCAACACGCGUAACUCUCACCAAUAUGUUAAGGGCUCGAGCCUCAGCCUGGACACACGUGACAAGGGUGCUAUCCAGUGUGACCCUCACUAGAAAACAUCACAAGUUUCUCGGUCUCCGGUUUCCUCCUGUACCAACCGCCCGAACGCCUAGUAAGCCGAUAAGUGGCUGAAAAAAAAUUCUGUAGAUCUGAACCCAGACAAAUUCUUACUUUGGACUCAUGCAUACAGACUCUGAUUUUUGAGGACAUUAAAAUACAGUACAGUAGUUUCAAGCAUGAUUACGAUCCUAUAGUCAAUGUAAAAUCUCUUCUUCAUCUUCUUUUGUCUCAUGAGAGCCUUCCUCCAUUAGCACUGUUCUGGAGACCCUUCCCAUAGUCGACUAUUAUGGCCUUCAACCUAAAACUAUGUAACUUAUAUACAAAUGAUGGAUACUGUACUGUACUGUGCAAACAAAUUCUUCUCAUUACAUCCUAUACCUGUAUCCAAGCCUAUUUCUCAAUCAUUCAAUAUAUGUAGUUAAUCCUACUUAACCCACACAAGUGUGGAAAAUGGUCUCAAAACAGCGAUGAAAAUGAUGACUUAUACUUGGGCAAUAUGGAUAAAAUGAGAUAAGUUUAAGUGUUCCACUUACUUACUUUAAAUAAUUGUCUCAAAAUCCUGGCUGAAACACUUUAGUCAGCUUACUAAAAAUACAAACCUAAGUAGCAACUUUUGAGUCACAAAUAUACAAAAAGUUGCUAUAAAAUAUAUAUUUUUUAAAUUUUACAAGCCUCUUCUUGUUUAAUGUAUGGUGGGCAGAAUCAAGAGCAAGUACAGUCUCUCCUCGACUUACGACGGGGUUCCGUCCCGACGUCCGGGUCGUAAGUUGAAAAGACGAAAAUAAU